rnacentral:rRNA from 1 species
UACGUAGGGUGCGAGCGUUGUCCGGAAUUAUUGGGCGUAAAGAGCUCGUAGGCGGUCUGUCGCGUCGGUCGUGAAAACUUGGGGCUUAACCCUGAGCUUGCGGUCGAUACGGGCAUGACUGGAGUUCGGCAGGGGAGACUGGAAUUCCUGGUGUAGUGGUGAUAUGCGUAGAUAUCGGGAGGAACACCAGUGGCGAAGGCGGCUUUCUGGGCCUUACCUGACGCUGAGACGCGAAAGCGUGGGGAGCGAACCGG